AUAGCGACAAGUACCGUGAGGGAAGAUGAAAAGAACUUUGAAAAGAGAGUUAAACAGUACGUGAAAUUGUUGAAAGGGAAACGAUUGAAGUCAGUCGUACCAGCGGGAAAUCAACCUUUCGAGUGGGGUUUUGGGGGUUUUGAAGAGUGUCAAAACCUUUGAAAUUUCAAAAUUUUCGCUCUUUUGGGGUACUUUCUCGUGGGUAGGUUAACAUCGAUUUUGAUCAUCAUAAAAGGAUUGGAGGAAUGUAGCUUC
rnacentral:rRNA from 1 species